GGCAGAGGGACUGUAAACAACAACCAGAAAUACUGUUUAACUAAUUUAUAGUGUACAUACAUCUGUGUUUUUAGUUUAACAACCCAAUUAUGGAACAUGCAUUGAGAAUUUUUCUAAUUUUUUCAGCAUUUACCGAGUGCAGGGCUGCAGACAAAGUGAAUCAGACUGCUGGAGAUGUCUUUGGGUCUGAAGGAGGAUCAGUGACAAUUAACUGUAACUAUGAAACUACCUGGUCCGGCACCUACUACCUCUUCUGGUACAUCCAGUAUCCCAAUGAGGCUCCAAAGUACAUGCUGAGAAGAGGAAGUAAUGAUCUAGAUGAUAUUGCUGAAGAGUACAAGGAGAGAUUUAAUGCCAAUUUGGAAAAAACUGCAAAGACUGUACCUUUAACAGUACAGAAUGUGCAGCUGUCAGACUCUGCUGUGUAUUACUGUGCUCUGAAUCCCACAGUGAGAAUAACCUUCUCACACCCUCUACAAAAACACCUGUGCAAUAUGACUGUGACAUAACAGAGUGAAAGGUUCUUACACAAGUUUAGAUAAGUUAUAAUUCUUUCAAAUAAUAAAACAAAAUUGUAAAACAUUAUUAAUGUGCAGAAAAUAGAAUAGUUACAUGUACCAGCAUAAUUAUAUAAAAAAGUUACCUUUAGAAAUGCUACCUGUAUCAAUCACUAUAUAUAUUUUUUUUUCUUGUAAAAAAAAUACAAUUGGAAUGAAAAUAAAAAUAUUCUGACGAUUUCUUUGAAUACGAAAAUUGAAUUUGAAUAUAUCCUCUGUUUUUAAUGACCGUCGUGUUUGAGCAUAAUGUUCACCACUGAAAAAAAUGUAUAAAGGUUAAACUUAUGCAGACACUGCACCUCACUG